AUGCCACCGGAUAGAGACAUUGAGUUCUUGAUUGAACUUUUGCCAGGCACAGGGCCAAUAUCUAAGAGACCGUACAGGAUGCCCGCAAAGGAUUUGGAGGAAAUUAAGAAGCAAAUCAAGGAGUUACUGGAUAAAGGCUAUAUUCGCCCAAGUUCGUCACCUUGGGGAUCACCAGUACUUCUAGUGGAGAAGAAAGAUGGAUCGCUGAGGAUGGUUGUUGAUUACCGAGGAUUGAAUGAAGUGACCAUCAAAAACAAGUACCCACUGCCGAUGAUCAACGAUUUGUUUGACCGCCUACAAGGAGCUAAAGUAUUUUCCAAGAUCGAUCUACGAUCAGGAUACCAUCAGUUAAAGAUUCGAGAGCAGGAUAUACCCAAGACGACAUUUACCACCAUAUAUGGAUUGUAUGAGUAUACCGUUAUGUCAUUUGGUCUGACUAACGCACCUGCCUAUUUCAUGAACCUGAUGAACAAAGUGUUUAUGGAGUUUUUGGAUAAGUUCGUCGUGGUGUUCAUUGAUGAUAUUUUAAUCUUUUCCAAGGAUGAGGAAGAGCAUGAGGAGCAUUUACGAUUGAAAUCUCGUGAGCUCCGUUAG
rnacentral:rRNA from 1 species